ensembl:lncRNA
AUUUAAGGUCUGGUCGCCACAAGGGAAGUAUCUCUACUUGGAGAUCAUCUUCUUUAGAGUGUUUAGUAAGCUCUAAUUCUUGGAAAGGGUGAAGGGCGGAACUGAAUUCAGCCAACUUGUAUUGUUCAGAGCUGAUAGAAAUGUUCCUGACGCUAUCAGUGACAGCUCUUUCUAAAACUAAUUAGCACUCCUGAUUUUUUUAUACAACUGACUGAAGAUGAAAUAUAUCACCACCAGAAAAUUUCAUGAAGGAUGUGACACCCACAAGAAUGAAGUUGAAAUGCUUUGGAUUAAAUUCAGACCCGAUGGAAUUUAACUGGAGAAAAAUAAGUAUGAAUAGAUGGUUUCUGUGAUUCCACUAUAUUGUCUUGAGGAUUGGCUUCUUUUUUUCCUGUUGCCUUUUUAAUGGAUUUUGCAGUGGAAUUGCCAGAUGAUGGCCUGAAUAAAUGGUUGAGCACCAAGUGAGAAGGUGCGGCUAACUCAAGGAGCUCAGGUGCAAGCAACACAGCUGAAUGACAGGAAGGUGCGGAACCUGGAUCCACUCCUCCUUAGCCUCAUUUAAGGAAGAAUCAGAAAGCUAAGAUGGACCACACUGAAGCGAAGCCUAAACAACACACUUCAUGUGAUAAUUACCUAUAAGUGGUGAGGUAUGUCAGCUCUAACUCAGAACAGAAGUUCUGAAAGAUAAAUUAAAUCCUGUAGUAAACUUGCAAAAUCCUUGUUUGAUUGCUUUCAAAAAGGCAGGAAAAAAAAAAUAACUUCAUUAAAGCAAGAAGAGCAAAUUUCUACUGGCAAAGAGUCAGAAACUAAAGACCCUAAAUAUGCAAAAUAGGAAUAAAAUGUAGUGAGCAUAAUUCUGCUUUGUUAUCUAUUUGUUGCCAUUAUGCAAUAACCUAAAUUGAAUGAAUUAAAAGCAAAAUAUGAACACAUAAGGCUUAACAAGAUUACAAGAAAAGAAUGGGGGCUUAAAUUAUGGGCAUGCCAAAACUAUAAAAUAUGCACGUUUCUGCAAUAUCAGAGUGAACAAGACAAUUCUUUGUUUAAUAGAAUUUUUCCUUUCUGUAAUUACUUCAGUGUCUGGGUCCACAGAGAAAAUACCACUAGUAAACAAUUAUUUUGCCAUUUUUUUCUUCUUUAUAGUUGCUCGAUUAUUUUUAUUAGUAUUCAGUGCUGAACCAUUUCCUGUGUCAUGCUGGAUGGAACAUUCUUUUAUGCACUUACAUGAGCAAAUACAAGUCUUUUUUUUACCUAUUUCUUUGAAUAUUUUCACUAUGUAUAAAUCAACAACUUUCACUAGAUUAAGAGGUGAAGAGAUUUUGACUUUCUUAAUUCUCUUUAUUAACUAUGAAUCUUUUUGAAGCAUUGACUGUAGCAUGAUUAUUUUCACCUAAAUCUUACUGCACUUCAAUGCACUAUUAGAUAUACUUCAUUUUAGUAUUGAAUAAAAUGAUAGCGCUAUCAUUUGCAUCCUGGCUUAAGUACAAAUACUUGUAAGAGAUUAUUCUUUUGCAUCAUUGUCUCAAAGCUUGCUGAGGGACGCAAAUGAACAAGUCCAAGCAAGUCCUGACCAAGGAAAAUUGGGAAAAUCUUCCAUUGGAAAAUUCUUUGUCUGGUGUUGUAGUAGGCGCUUGACAGGGAUAUGUGCUGUAUGGGAUAGGCCUCUCCCUAAGCAGAGUGAAAGGGUGCUGUUGUGCUCAGACAGACUGUCCUUGCUAACAAAGUAAACAAGAUAAGAAGGCAAAGGAAUGAGGAGACCAUAGGAGCCAAAUAAGGAAUUGUGGUAAGGGGCUAAGAUCCAGUACGGACGAAUCAGGACAGGGCACAAUAGCUCAAGUAAGGUAUAUAAGCUGUGUGUAUUAGUGAAUAAACGCCAUUUUGCAGCAUCCCC